CACUUAUCAAGAGUGGACCGAGAGAUCUGGAUCGAUGACGUCCCAGCAACCUGCGCACAGCAAGGUGCUACGACCAGCAAAGCGAAAGCUUUGGUUGAUAAAAA
rnacentral:ncRNA from 2 species